rnacentral:lncRNA from 1 species
AGUUGAAGUGUUUGCUUGUCUAGUGAACUGAGUUAGCCUUGUCUGUUGAAACUGGCAGUGGUGGGGCAUGUAGGAAAAAAAAAUUCUAUGAAAAUCUCAGGGAGCUGACAGACACUUCUAAAAGAAAAGAAAGUGAACAACAUUAUCCCUGGCCUCUUUUAUGAGAGGGGAAUUGAUUGAUUUAUUCAAUGCCUGAUUGAGUAUUGCCUAUGAGUAAAGAUUUAGGGGAGUGAUAAAUCAGAAAAACACAGAACACCCCAGUAUAAUGGGAGGGAGCCACUCCAAAGGCCAAAUGUCGAGAAAAUACUAUAGGAGCUGCCACAUGCAUAACUGUAUUGCAGACCCCUGUGUGAUAUGCUGGAAGUCUUGGUUAAGAACAUGGAUUCCCACUGAGCUAAGUGGGAGAGCUUGUUCAAGCUAAGACACUGAGCUAGAACAUCCUGUCUCAGUUUCUUCACUAUAAAAUGGGCGUGGUGCUAUUAUGGUAAUAAUGGCGUUGUUCUAUGGUGAUAAUACCAUCAUCAUGGAAGUAAAUCAGAUACAGACACACACUGCUCAGAGCAGUGCCUGGCAUCAAGUUAGCACAAAAUCAGCAUCUGCAACGUUUAUUAUGACGCUGUUUCAGACAUGUAUUUUUCUUUAUUAUGAAACCACAACGUAUUUUUAAACGUUAGAGGAGAGAACGGAAAAACAACCAUGAUAAUCCCAUUCCCCGGCACAAUCUUAAUUUUACACAGUCCUUGCAAAUAUUUUUUACAUUGACCAUUUCAUACUUAUGAAAGUAGCUGGCAUAUAGUAGGCACUCAAUUAAAUGCUCGCUGGCUGACUCCCCAGUUCAGUGCAAACUAUUUUGUUUUAUGCUUUGUGUAUGUAAAAUUAUAUCAGAUAUAUUUCGCUUUGGUUUCUUUUUCCUCAUAAACAACACGAUUACAAUUUUAUGGCUACAAGAUAUCUCAUGGUGUCAGUGUAACAAGCCUUGAAUAAGUCAUUUUUCUUUUGCUGUACUAUUAUACGUGGAAUUACUACAAACCACACUAUUUUAGAUAACACCACAUUGAACUGUUUUGUACACAGUGUUUUGCCUUUUUUUCUAAAAUUUCUUAAGACAACUGUGGAAUUUGGAAAUAAAUACUCUCAGCUAAACUUUUAAGUUAUCUGUUAGGUAGCCUAAAAAAGUUAAACCAAAAUGAGAUUCUUUUUAUAAGAUCAGGUUGUAAUAAAAUGAACUUCACAAGAUGACAGUCACGUGAACGAAAUAGUGACCUCAUUUUCAUUUUGAAAAGCUGCUUUCCCCUCUUCUGAAAAAGUUGUAUUAGAAACGAUUCCUCCAAUACUCUAGUGAUCUUUUAUCUGAGAUUAAUAAAAGAUACGAGUAUUUUGAUGUAUUCAUUAACAAAAGAACAAUAAAUUCACCUUUAGUAGGUGUAAGUAAGGAAAGAUCUCAGCAGAUCUGGUUAACUCUAAGUCUGGCUUUAGAAAGCCACAGUGGGUUGGGCAUGGUGGCUCACGCCUGUAAUCCCAGCACUUUGGGAGGCCGAGGCGAGUGGAUCACCUGAGGUCAGAAGUUCAAGACCAGCCUGGCCAACAUGGCGAAACGCUCUGUCUACUAAAAAUACAAAAAUUAGCCAGGCGUGGUGGCAGGCACCUGUAAUCCCAGCUACUCGGGAGGCUGAGGCAGAAUUGCUUGAACC